rnacentral:piRNA from 1 species
UGGAAUGGUGUCUGUUCUGGGGCUGU